rnacentral:rRNA from 1 species
AGCUCCAAUAGCGUAUAUUAAAGUUGUUGCAGUUAAAAAGCUCGUAGUUGGAUUUCGGGAUGGCCCGGCCGGUCUGCCGCAAGGUAUGUUACUGGCCGAGCUGUUCUUCCUCGCAAAGACUGUGUGUGCUCUUAACUGAGUGUGCUCAGGAUCUGCGACGUUUACUUUGAAAAAAUUAGAGUGUUCAAAGCAAGCCAGCGCUUGAAUACAUAAGCAUGGAAUAAUGGAAUAGGACUUUGGUUCUAUUUUGUUGGUUUCUGGAACCGAAGUAAUGAUUAAGAGAGACAGUUGGGGGCAUUCGUAUUUCGUUGUCAGAGGUGAAAUUCUUGGAUUUACGAAAGACGAACUACUGCGAAAGCAUUUGCCAAGAAUGUUUUCAUUAAUCAAGAACGAAAGUAGG